AUUGAACGCUGGCGGCAGGCCUAACACAUGCAAGUCGAGCGGAUGAGGGUAGCUUGCUACCUGAUUCAGCGGCGGACGGGUGAGUAAUGCCUAGGAAUCUGCCCGAUAGUGGGGGACAACGUUUCGAAAGGAACGCUAAUACCGCAUACGUCCUACGGGAGAAAGUGGGGGAUCUUCGGACCUCACGCUAUCGGAUGAGCCUAGGUCGGAUUAGCUAGUUGGUGAGGUAAUGGCUCACCAAGGCUACGAUCCGUAACUGGUCUGAGAGGAUGAUCAGUCACACUGGAACUGAGACACGGCCCAGACUCCUACGGGAGGCAGCAGUGGGGAAUAUUGGACAAUGGGCGCAAGCCUGAUCCAGCAAUGCCGCGUGUGUGAAGAAGGCCUGCGGGUUGUAAAGCACUUUAAGCAGGAAAGAAGGGGUGGGAGCUAAUAUCUUUCAUCAUUGACGUUACCUGCAGAAUAAGCACCGGCUAACUCCGUGCCAGCAGCCGCGGUAAGAC
rnacentral:rRNA from 1 species